rnacentral:lncRNA from 1 species
GUACGAGUAUACAUAUACGGUCCUAACCGUACGGGUAUGGUCCAAAUACUCAUAUGGUCUGGAACAUUUACACAUGAGCUGGGUUGGAUAGAAAUCGACAUUGUGCUAAUAAAUAACAAUCUGUUAACAUAUUUUGGGUUAAAAAAAAUUAUGCAUACUUAGUCUGUAACUGUUUGAAAAUUGAGUUGAUAUAAGAACCGUACAAAUUAUACCUGAAUUCAUCAUAUAUUUCAGAAUUGUAUGUUCCAAGAUAAGUUUUAUACAUGUACAAGUAAACGUACAAUUGAAUAAGGUUGAUUUCUAUCCAUCGCAGCUCACAUGUUGG